CUUCCCUCCCUUCCUCCCUCUUCCAUCAUUAUGGGUGUUUCAAGGAGUUAGAGCCUCAUCAAUAACAUUUGAGUCCCUCUCAUAGCCACUAUAUAGCUUGAAUUUUCUCAUCUUUUUGCUUUCUCGGGUUUUGUAGGCCUUCCUUCUUUGCUUGGACAACUCGGAGAGGACAUUAGCAAGGGUUUCCGACUAGGGAGAAUCUGAGAGUAGGAGCUAGGUGCCUUUGCUUCUCUUUCCUUUUGCUAUCAUUAUCGUCUCGGUUAUGCCUUCUCCCUUUAACUUAGAUGAGUCUACUAGAUGAAUCUCCAUGCAAUCCCCCUGUUGUUGAUCGGCAUUCUCUAUGGAGGUAGGUUACUCCAUGGUGCAGGCCUAUGCUGGUGUUUCAGGGAGCAAGAUAAGAGCAACGCAUCCACGCUGAGCAGAACAACACGAAGGGACAAGCACAUUGAUGGAUGGACAAGUAUAAGCCCAAUAAUCACUGUCGAUCAGCUGAGGGAACAAGUAUUUAUGGAUGGAGGGAGCUUUAAGCUUCGUAAAUUAGUAUAAGGGUCUCAUGAGCAAAUGCUAGCUAUCAUUGAAACAAGCCUUUUGUGGUCAGGGUUUUGGUUUGGGGGCCUAAUGAAGUUGCAGUUGAGGUAAGGGGAUACUUCAUGACUUGUAACUGGAUUCGGCAAGAAAUGGGCAGAGGAUGCUAGGGUGUUGGUGGGAGGGAUGUUCAUUUGGUUUGUGGCUCUCGGCUGAAAUAUGGGUAGAUGAGGAUGAAAGGUGAUGGGUAGAGGUCCAUUGAAGUAGGGCUGCUAGGUUUUCUUAAAGUAUUCUAUCACCAUGCUAGGUUUUCUUAAAGAAGAGACCGCUUGCCCCGGAUUAGAGUUGAAAUACUUCAAAGGGAGCAAAGGCAAAAAUAUAACUUGGAUGUUGAAAAACAUCAUGUGGUGAAAGUCUGAUCAUGACCCACUUGGAUUAUCUUACUUUUUAAGAGUACUUGAACAAUACGAUGUUUUUCAUCCACAUAAUAUAAUUUUAUGUUUUUCAA